CCGGAACAAGCUCGCGGCAACAUGGCUGCUUGCACCACGACUAAAGGAGGAGAAUUUGGGAGGGAGGGGGUUCGUUUUACUUUCGGCUGUCCUCGGUUUUUUCCGAGCCUCGACUGGUGACCGCGUUUCCUCCAGCGUGCUGGAGUGUGUCCAAUUUGACAAUGGAUGACAGCGCAGCAGAUGUCACAUCUACCUUACCGCGUUUUGUGAUCAGCACUGAAAAUGUGCUGAAAAACUUCAGAAAAUUCACAUAAACUCGAUGACUUGGCUUUUUCUUUACAUGAGCAGUUUGAGUGAGAGUGUAGUUUGUUGCUGGGGAAAAUAUGCUGAUGUGUUGCCAUCUGCAGGAAGUCUGACUGUAUUACAGUGCUAUCUCUAUCUAUCCAUCUAUCCUUGCAUUCAGCACCCCCAUAGCCUAUCCUGAAGCCAUUUUCUCCUGUGUGUCCUGUAAAUAUCUGGAUGAGAAUGCAUUUUUUUUGGCAGCCAUACUCCUAUUUUGCUGUGGAGAAGAAAUGACACUCUGAGUGGGAGGCUGAACUGCAGACUGUUAAUUGCAGCUGAUUUGAGGGUAUUUUAAGUCUCAUUGGAUGAACAUUAAAAAGCAUACCAGCUUUUAUAUCUCCAGUCUCCUAUUUCAGGGUGCCAAAUGUAUCUGGCCAGAGUGAAGCUGUAAUAACAGUCAUUUUUUAAUAUGUAGCCAAUAAUGUUCUCUGUAGAAGCUGGCAUCCUAUACGCGCCGCCAGACUGUUAUAUUACAGGCAGCCCCUCAAGCUUUUUUUUUGCAUUUCGGUUCAUCUCGUCAAGAAUCUUUGUCGGUGUUGUUUAACUCUCUAGCAAUAUGCAGAUCUUGAUUACUGUGAAAUCUGAAUCUCCACCACAUUGUCACACACGAUGAUCUAAAUGCACUGAAGCAUGAACCACCCAACUGUUACCUGUGAUUUCACUUUCAGCAGGCCGGUUAUUGAACAGAGUUUGGACGUAAUUAAAGCAAUUGUUAAAAUGUGUUUCAAUGCUGAAAUGAGUACAGAAAUGUUCUGAUUUUGGUAUAACAUUUUAUUUUUUGGUCUUUUUGGUGUAUACCUCCCAAUUCCACAUCAAGCUUCAUCACUUUAUUGCACUCUUAUCAUUUCAGUAAACCCAGUAAAAGCAACUCUGAAUUAAAC